rnacentral:tRNA from 1 species
GUGUGCGUAAUUUAAAGAAAAUAUCAAGCUGUGACCUUGAAAAUAGANUAACCUCGCACACC